rnacentral:lncRNA from 1 species
GGCUAGUUCUACAGGUUUUAGGAGGUAUUCUUACCAUUAUAACCACCAUAACUAACCAUGUUCAGCUGAAGUACGGCACUUCCCCAGUAAGACUGGCAAGAGCAGUGUACAUCCCAUUCUAACCCCCAUAUUCUAGAAUGUCCUAGAACUCUACAAACACUCCACCUCAACUCAAGAAAGUAGAUGACAAUGCCUCCACUUGAUAAAAGUGGUCGCUGCACUUCAUUGACACUUCACAGCAAUUCUUGAGACGGGUGGCACUGUGCUCGACUCUGUGGACUGGAGGUUGACAAAGUUAAGGAUCGUUUAAGAAUACGGGGGUAAGUCUGCAGGCUUAACCUACAACUCCUUAACUUGUCAUUUUGUGAGCAUUAUAUGCUGUCCUAUCUGUGGCCCCAUUUCUGUGUACUAUCUCCUGUUGACUCUCUUGUCGGCAUAGUCUGUGAUUGCAAACGGUAAUUUUAUGUUUGCAAAUACAGAAGGUCAUGGCAGUUGGCUUGCCCACUGCGCUGGCUUUCCAGUUAAGUCUUCUUGCUGUUGUAGUUUCAACACCUGGCCAUGGCAACCACAUUACAUUGGGAGUGAAGCAUAAAAAUGGCUACAUACCCAGAUAUCAAGUACAAUGUGGCACAAGUUUCACUGGACACCAGCUAAGGGAACUGUUAUAGAACAUGGGGAAACCCUUAUGAACAAGAAAAUUAGUUUUGCAGGUAUACAGCUGCAAGUACAAGUUUCACAGCACAUGCCACAACAUGAUAGCUGCACUGCAGUUAACAACAGACGAUGACUUAUGCUGAUAUUCAUCAAUACCUACGACUUUGAAAGGAAUAAAGUGCGACCCAUGUGGAUAA